rnacentral:rRNA from 1 species
UGAAUGUAUGGAUUCCUACGGGAGGCAGCAGUGGGGAAUAUUGCACAAUGGGCGCAAGCCUGAUGCAGCGACGCCGCGUGAGGGAUGAAGACCUUCGGGUUGUAAACCUCUUUCAGUAGGGAAGAAGCGAAAGUGACGGUACCUGCAGAAGAAGCGCCGGCUAACUACGUGCCAGCAGCCGCGGUAAUACGUAGGGCGCAAGCGUUAUCCGGAAUUAUUGGGCGUAAAGAGCUCGUAGGCGGUUUGUCGCGUCUGCCGUGAAAGUCCGGGGCUUAACUCCGGAUCUGCGGUGGGUACGGGCAGACUUGAGUGAUGUAGGGGAGACUGGAAUUCCUGGUGUAGCGGUGAAAUGCGCAGAUAUCAGGAGGAACACCUGUGGCGAAGGCGGCCCUCUGGACGGAUACUGACGCUGAGACGCGAAAGCGUGGGGAGCAAACAGGAUUAGAUACCCUGGUAGUCCCACGCUGUAAACGAUGGGCACUAGGUGUUCGGGGUAUUGACCCCCUGAGUGCCGCAGCUAACGCAUUAAGUGCCCCGCCUGGGGACUACGGCCGCAAGGCUAAAACUCAAAGGAAUUGACGGGGGCCUGCACAAGCGGUGGAGCAUGUGGUUUAAUUCGACGCAACGCGAAGAACCUUACCUGGGCUAGACAACACCGGACAGCCCCGGAAACGGGGUCUUCCCGCAAGGGACUGGUGGUUCAGGUGCUGCAUGGCUGUCGUCAGCUCGUGUCGUGAGAUGUUGGGUUAAGUCCCGCAACGAGCGCAACCCUUGCCUUUAGUUGCCAGCAUUAAGUUGGGCACUCUAAAGGGACCGCUUGCCGAUAAGGCAGAAGAAGGUGGGGAUGACGUCAAGUCCGCAUGGCCCUUACGCCCAGGGCAACACACGUACUACAAUGGCCAACACAGAGCGAAGCAAGACCGCGAGGUGGAGCUAAUCGCAGAAAAUUGGUCUCAGUUCGGAUUGGAGUCUGCAACUCGACUCCAUGAAGCUGGAAUCGCUAGUAAUCGCGGAUCAGCAUGCCGCGGUGAAUUCAUUCCCGGGCCUUGUACACACCGCCAUCGG